rnacentral:rRNA from 1 species
ACCUUGUUACGACUUCACCCCAAUCACCAACCACAACUUCAGCGGCUUCCUCCCUUGCCGGUUAGAUCACCGAUUUCUGUUGCAGCGGGCUUUCGUGGUGUGACGGGCGGUGUGUACAAGGCCCGGGAACGUAUUCACCGCGACCUGCUGAUUCGCGAUUACUAGCGAUUCCGCCUUCACGUGGGCGAGUUGCAGCCCACGAUCUGAACUGAGGCCGGCUUUAAGGGUUUGGCUCCACCUUGCGGUAUUGCUUCCCGUUGUACCGGCCAUUGUAGCACGUGUGUAGCCCUGGACAUAAGGGCCAUGAGGAUUUGACGUCGUCCCCACCUUCCUCCUUCUUAUCGAAGGCAGUUUUCGAAGAGUGCUCCCUUGCGGGAUAGCAACAUCGAAUANGGGUUGCGCUCGUUGCGGGACUUAACCCAACAUCUCACGACACGAGCUGACGACAACCAUGCAACACCUCUGCUGG